rnacentral:tRNA from 2 species
GCGGGUGUCGUAUAGUGGCCAUUACACUGCCUUGCCAAGGCAGCGAGGUGGGUUCGACUCCCAUCACCCGCU